GUUCCUUGUGUUCGAUGGAUACCUUUUUGGACUUCUAAUACAAAGGUCGUGGGUUCGAAUCCCACUUGGAAUA